UUCUUCGGGGCGGGGCGCAAUUCCCCACCGGCGGUAUAGUCCGCGAACCGCUUACGGCGGCUGAUCCGGUGUGAUUCCGGAACCGACAGUAUAGUCUGGAUGAGAGAAGAG
rnacentral:ncRNA from 1 species